GGUUGACCUCGGAUCAGGUAGGGAUACCCGCUGAACUUAAGCAUAUCAAUAAGCGGAGGAAAAGAAACCAACAGGGAUUGCCUCAGUAACGGCGAGUGAAGCGGCAACAGCUCAAAUUUGAAAUCUGGCUCCUUCGGGGUCCGAGUUGUAAUUUGUAGAGGAUGUUUCGGGUGCGGCGCUGAUUUAAGUCCCUUGGAACAGGGCGUCAUAGAGGGUGAGAAUCCCGUAUGUGAUUGGCGACCAACCCCAUGUGAAGCUCCUUCGACGAGUCGAGUUGUUUGGGAAUGCAGCUCAAAAUGGGUGGUAAAUUUCAUCUAAAGCUAAAUACCGGCCAGAGACCGAUAGCGCACAAGUAGAGUGAUCGAAAGAUGAAAAGCACUUUGGAAAGAGAGUCAAAAAGUACGUGAAAUUGUUGAAAGGGAAGCGCUUGCAACCAGACCUGCCAGCGGGCAAUCAGCGGUCGGGCAACCGUCCGUGUACUUGUCCGCGAUCAGGCCAGCAUCGGUUUCGGCGGCCGGAUAAAGACUUGAGGAACGUAGCUCCCCCCGGGAAGUGUUAUAGCCUCUUGUGGAAUACGGCCAGCUGGGACCGAGGACCGCGCUUCGGCUAGGAUGCUGGCGUAAUGGUCGUAAGCGACCCGUCUUGAAACACGGACCAAGGAGUCUAACAUCUAUGCGAGUGUUUGGGUGUCAAACCCAUGCGCGUAAUGAAAGUGAACGGAGGUGGGAACCCUUGAGGGCGCACCAUCGACCGAUCCGGAAGUUUACGGAUGGAUUUGAGUAUGAGCAUAGCUGUUGGGACCCGAAAGAUGGUGAACUAUACAUGAAUAGGGUGAAGCCAGAGGAAACUCUGGUGGAGGCUCGCAGCGGUUCUGACGUGCAAAUCGAUCGUCAAAUUUGUGUAUAGGGGCGAAAGACUAAUCGAACCGUCUAGUAGCUGGUUCCUGCC
rnacentral:rRNA from 1 species